CGGGCGCGCGCGGCGCGCAGUGCCGGCGCCACGUGGAGCGGACGCGGAACGUCCGGCACCGCCAUGGCCUCCAACGAUUACAGCCAGACGGCGACCCAAAGUUACGGCGCCUACCCCGCCCCCCCCAGCCAGAGCUACGGGCAGGGGCGGGGGCAGAGCUACGGCCAGCAGAGCUACGGCGGCUACGGGCAGGGCUCGGACUCGGGGUACGGCCAGGGGGGGUACAGCUCCUCCUACGGACAGAGCCAGAUCGGUG